rnacentral:ncRNA from 1 species
CGGUCGGGCGUGCACCCUUGGGACGGUGCACAGGUAUAGACCGGUCCUAAUGCCCGAUGACGAGCGGUGUGUUCACCCCCAGGGACACCCCCG